UUUCGUUCUGACAAACGUGAAUCGCGUCAAAGAAAAUUAAUUCUGCUUCGUAGAAGGAUACUAAGUGUCUACCUGUUGCACCGUGCUGCUAGACGAAACGGUCUCGAUCGUUUUCGGGGAAUCGCGAAAGUGAAGGGGCGAAAACAGAGUGGACGAGGGAAAGAAACAGGCAGAAAGAUAGAGACGGCGGUGGAUAGAGGGAGGAUGUGUAUGAGGAUAGAGAGAAAGGGAGAGAAGGAGAGAAGAGACAAGCACUUGGCGAAUGAAAAAUUUUACGCGUCUACGCGUAGGAAGAAAUUCUGCUGGUACGUCGCUGCCUUCGCAACUUGUUGCUAGUCACCCCGAGAUCUCUCUGGCUUCUCGAUUUCCGGCGCUGCCUUUUGCACACAGAUGCUGUAGUGGAACGAAAUAGUUUGCGUGAAACUGAUCCUUUGACCAUUGAUCCAUUAACGUCAGCGCGGUAUGUUCCUGUUCACUUUCAACGACAGAAGCCUUAGAACCUGUAGAAUGAUUCUACAUAGCAGUUAUAUAGCAGUCACGGUAAUUCACAGUUCU